rnacentral:rRNA from 2 species
UACAGAGACUGCAAGCGUUAUUCGGAUUCACUGGGCGUAAAGGGUGCGCAGGCGGCCAAGUGUGUGAGGCGUGAAAGCCUGGGGCUUAACCCCAGAAUUGCACCUCAAACUACUUGGCUAGAGCAUUGGAGAGGGUAGCAGAAUUCAUGGUGUAGCAGUGAAAUGCGUAGAUAUCAUGAGGAAUACCAGAGGCGAAGGCGGCUACCUGGACAAUUGCUGACGCUCAGGCACGAAAGCGUGGGGAGCAAAAGGG